rnacentral:lncRNA from 1 species
ACUAAGUUCACCUUAACCUCCCCACAAAAAGAAAAACAUUUAUAUAGGAAGAAAUACAGUGGACUCAUUUCAUGCUCCAAAAUCUAAAGACUACUUAAUUGUUACAUUUUUGCACACAGGAAGACUGUGCAAACAAGCACACAGAAACCAUUCAUUAACUUUCCAACCUCUACCUUCCUAACAGAACAGUUGUCACAAAGUCUUUUUCAGUAACCCAGCCUAGACCCCCAAAUUGAUUUAUCAAUCAAGGUUAUUGCUUAGUUAUUAACUCUCCCCAAAUGGAUGCCUAGUUCUUAAUUGGACAGGAAUGAAAAAUAAAUAACAGAACCAGCUGCCACCCUGCCCUCCAAGAUUUGAGUUUUACACCCCUGAUUUACAUCAAGCUGAUAGGACAAGCCCCUACUACUGUAACCAGCACGUAUUUGAGCUUUUCCAAGCCACUGUGUAUUUUCAGUCUAAGGCACCCAUGCCUUUGAGCUCAUAUAGCAGGGAGAUAAAGACAAGCUACCUUGAAAUCUGCAGACAGACACAGGCUGACUGGUUAAGGGGGCACAGUGAGAUGCGGUAGUGGAGAUACAAGUUCUAAUGACACUCGACAGUUCUGCCCACUGGCAAUGGGCUGGCCUUUAGAGGCCCACCUUAAAAUAGAUCAGGAAAGAGAGUUUAUGCUUCCCCUGAAGGCCAGGUGGCAUGGUAUGUAUGUGUGGACAAAUGUAAGCUGUACUGACAUAGAGGGGUUAUGUGUUAGUGUGUGUCUGUGUAGAGUAUAUGUCUGUGAGCCUGGAUACUUCUGUAUGUUGUCCUUAUGCUUUAGGAUGCCUUCAAAUAAAAACAUAGUGGGGUGGGGAGAAAUGAUUCUGUAAAACGCUGUUCUACCUUUUCAAUUGGUUGACGGAUACGUCCUUGUAACUUUUCUGAUGAACAGAGCAACACAACAAUAGGCCCUGCCCCAAUUGAAAACAUUGAGUUGUUCCAUUUUUACGCAUCAGUUUGUCUAGUUUGAAGGCACCCUGAGUGCAUGUGAAAGCGUCAGAGAAUUUGUAGAAUUUCGACUGUAGACAAUAGUCUGGUAUCUUCUAUCACCCUAACUGUUGUGGUAUCAGCAGUGUGGGGAUUUCAGUGACACUAGGUAUUCAGUAGUGUUGGGGUAUCAGCAGUGUGGGGAUUUCAGCAACACUACAGUAGGUAUUCAGUACUGUUGGGGUUUCAGCAGUGUGAGGAUUUCAGUAACACUAGGUAUUCAGUAGUGUUUGGGUUUCAGCAGUGUGGGGAUUUCAGCAACACUAGGUAUUCAGUAGUGUUGGGGUAUCAGCAGUGUGGGGAUUUCAGUGACACUAGGUAUUCAGUAGUGUUGGGGUAUCAGCAGUGUGGGGAUUUCAGUGACACUAGGUAUUCAGUAGUGUUGGGGUAUCAGCAGUGUGGGGAUUUCAGUGACACUAGGUAUUCAGUAGUGUUGGGGUAUCAGCAGUGUGGGGAUUUCAGUGACACUAGGUAUUCAGUAGUGUUGGGGUAUCAGCAGUGUGGGGAUUUCAGUGACACUAGGUAUUCAGUAGUGUUGGGGUAUCAGCAGUGUGGGGAUUUCAGUGACACUAGGUAUUCAGUAGUGUUGGGGUAUCAGCAGUGUGGGGAUUUCAGUGACACUAGGUAUUCAGUAGUGUUGGGGUAUCAGCAGUGUGGGGAUUUCGGCAGUGUUAGGAUUUUAGGAGCGCUGGGAUUUGGGCGCCAGAUGUCCUGCUGCUGACUGUCGUGUGUUGGCUCUGGGAGUGCUGAGGCUGCCUAAGGGAGGUGUGUGUGUCUGUACAUUUCCAUUUCCCUUUAAUUUGAGCAUUUGGAGGUUUUGUACAGUAUGAAAUAUAUGCUUUAUGAAAGGAUGUGUUGGUGAGGUACAGUAAGGGAAAUUAUUGUUUACUUCAGUAAGAUCUGUGAUUCAGCCACUCCCCCGGGCUUGAAGUGGCACGAAGCCAGUAACAGUCAAGGACAGGCAAGUUCAGAGGUCAGGUUGGUAACACCAGGUCAUAUUACUGGACAUGCUAGGUUAACACUUCCCUUCAGGCAGCUUCAAAUAAAAGUCUUAUGAAUUCAGCCAUUUUUUCUGAAUAUAUUUUCCUGCUUCAUACUAUAUGUCUACUGGCAUAAGUAUGACAUUAUCAAUCCUCAGGCAUUAUGUCACUCUUAUGGCAGUGUUAUGUAGGCUCUGUGUACGUCCUCCUCAAGUCAAGUGAAAAAUAACUACUGUCUGUUUAACUGAAGCCAAUAGUUUAAAGGAGGAUGUCCUCACAUGUCUUGUUAUCUGAUUAAUCAGACGGAAGCUCCAGGCUACUGUGUGAGAACGCUGACUAAAUCCUUAAUAGGGGAGCUCAAUGCACCACCAUGCAUUGAGUCACUUCUAACGUUUCUGUACCAUAUCUAUUUGAAAUGUUACGGUUGGAAAAUCUCCACAAUUUGGCCCUUAAUUACCAUUGAAGAAUUUGUAUUUGUUAUUUUAUUUAUUUAACCUUUAUUUAACUAGGCAAGUCAGUUAAGAACAAAUUCUUAUUUACAAUGACGGCCUACCAAAAGGCAAAAGGCCUCAGGCGGGAACGGGGGCUGGGAUUAAAAAUAAAAUUUAGGAUAAAACACACAUCACGACAGAGAGACACCACAACACCACAUAAAUAGACACCUAAGACAACAACAUAGGGUAUCUAGUUGUUACAGCUCAUCACCUAAGACAACAACAUAGGGUAUCUAGUUGUUACAGCUCAUCACCUAAGAC